rnacentral:misc_RNA from 1 species
GUUCUACAUGCCAACCAAAUGUCCAAAACAAACCCAAUUACACAGGCCAACGCCAUCACAACAAACACAAUUCUGUAGCAAUGCCCUCCGAUGCACGUGUUCCCGCCGCCCUCGGUCGGGGUCGCUUCCAUGUCGUAGAGAAACCCUGCAAGGAGGCCAGAGAAGAGGAAGGAUCCGAUUGGGAGGUUGAGGAUGAGAAUGUUGUAGAUGAGACCGUAGUAUUUGAGACCGAAGAGCUCAGAGGCGGUGGGGACAGUGACGGAGAGACGAACGCCGUAGCAGAUCCCGACGAUGACCGAGCCGAUGUAGAGAGAACCUGGCAUUGCCAUGGCCAUCAAAACAUAUCCAAUGGUCAUUAGAAUUUGAGAUGUAGCGUUCCAUAGAGGUCUUGGUGUGCCUACUUUUUUGAGAAAAUGCUCGGAAAGUGUUCCGGAAAGAAUCCGGCCGAAAAAUCCCCAAAUACUUGUGAGAGAAACGAACACUGAAACAUCGGCGUAACCCAGAGCCAAUCCGAUCUGACCCAUAUUGUUCAUCACCGCCAAUCCCGUUCCAACUCCACACAGAAACGACACGAACAACACCCAGAAAUCAAUUGUUCUCACCGCUUCAAAAAUCGUGUGUUCUUCUCCGAUCACCGGCGCUCUCUGCUCUACCUCUGCAAUUUCCUCUGCUUCCUCCUUUACCGGCGCCGCAACUGCCUCUUCUUUCAGUAGCGGCUCCUCAAUUCGAGCUUCCAGAUCCGAUCCGGCUCGAUUCGAGUGCCAGCUCUUGAAAAACGUGUAAAUUGGGAUGAUCAAAGGGGAUCCGAGGAGAA